rnacentral:misc_RNA from 1 species
UGAUUUGGUUAGAAAAGGAAUAUUUUUCUCGGAAUCAAUGUUCAAUUUUGAGUGGGAUUUUUGAUCAAUGUGAAUUUGUGUCAAUGUGAUUUUCAGCCAAUUCGAAAAUGUUUAAUUUUUUGUAUGUUCUAACGUGCCUCUCCUUUUUUACGCUGAAAUAUUGAUCAUAUUUAUUUAGGAUUCCGAGACACCCGAAGUCUAGAGCUUUUUAAAAUUUUAUCAACUUUUUUUCUAAAUCUUUUUGUUUUGUUUGUUGUUUUUGUUUUUUGUUUUCGAUUCGACAACGUCUUGGAACAGCCGACAGUAUAUAGAAGACCAAUCCCAAGACUGCGGCAUGUAUGGCCGCACUCGUGCACCCAAAAUCCUAAAUACUACCAAUACCAAAGCCGACAGUAUGAGUGUAGUAGUUUAGUUUUAGUAUUUAGUGUCAUACAUGGCCGGGUCUUCAUUACUUUGAUGAGCUUGCUUGAGAUUAUGGACAAGAUUCCUAUUCACUGCCCUGAUUAACAGACAAUUUGCUCUCUUUAGAUUUUACGAAUCUUUUUUUCCCUUCACGAGUUAGUAUUUCAUAUUUGAUCAAAGAACACAUUGUGGAAUGUGCACGAAUGUCUUUGUCUCCAUUGAAACUUUGAGCACUUGAUAUUUAAUUACGUUUUUUUGCUCUUUGAUUCAGUGUUUUAACCAUGGUUUAUCAAACCUUGUAUACACCAUGGUUUUAACCAAGGGUUUUAACUGUGCUUACUAACCUGGGAACACCUUUCUUUUUGCUACGAGUUAAACCCUUUUAGUUAAAGUGAUUAGUCUUGCCAAUUGUUCAUUUUGACGAUUUUGAUAAGGAAUUGGACAAUCAAUUCUGGUCUUAUGACAGCCAUAAUUUCAUGUGUGUCUGACAUUGGCUACUAUUAGUAUUACAACAAUAUUAAUAUAUGCAAGAUUUACAUUGUGUACCAAAGUGGAUUCAAUGAGAUUGCUGACACCAUAAAUGGUAAUGAAUGGAAGCGUGGCUAGAACUUUCCAUGGUUGAAUCAGCCCAUCAUGAGGCAUAUUUGAACUGGGAACGCGACAUUGGACCCCCCAACAGUGGCAACGGAGGGUACCCCGACGAAAACAAACGGGCCCCUCGACACUAGCCCCCACCCCCUCGACACCAGUCCCCCCCGACAUUGGCCCCCACCGUUUUUGCAGGGGGCUACAGUCGGCGAAGAGGGCGACACCAGCCACCCCUGGCAAUAGAAGCGGGGGGGCCUUUGUCGUGUAGGCAUACGACACCAGCGUCCCCCACUUAAAAUCAUUCAAGUACGGGGGGGCCAGUGUCGUAGUAUCAUACGACACCAGCCUCCCCCCUCAAAUUAAUUCAAUCGAAGGGGCUGUCGCAGUGGCAGUCGACAACAGUCCCCUUAUGUUGAUAAUCGAUUGUUAGGCCGAUUUCGAUCGCCAGUCAACAGUCCAACAUGGUCUCCACGGUAUAUACCGACCGUUCGGUAAGAUUGCAUUCCUGCUUUCCCUCUCUGUAGUCCUAUCUACAAGUAGUGCCGCCAACGGCCGAAGGAGGAAUUAAAAGCUUCUAAACAGUUUUGACAAACGAAAUUUACUGGCGAAGAUGAAAAGGAUUUAAGAAGAGCGCUAAAGUAGCCUAAGAGGAGAAAAAAGCAAAGCAAAAGGGAGAAGAUUAGGACCUAAUGGUGGGACUGGAGCUGAAGGAUAUGGUCUUUUUAAAAAAGAUAGGUUGUUCCCACAAGCAGAUAUACCUGCUCCUUCAACAAAGUUGCCUAAUGAACCUAAGGCGAAAAAAAUAUAUAUACUGUGAAAUCACCAGAAUUCCUAACUGGUGGUUGUGCAGAAAAUUCUUGUAACCAAAAACAAGAUGCUGAAAAAACCAAGGAUGGUUAUAGCAAUCACACAAGAAGGCAAUGAGAUUCAAACACCAACAGAAGAAGUAACGAAACGGCUGGCCACUCUAAAAAUGAGGGUUGAAAGAAUUCAAGAUGAAGCAAGUAUUGAAAAUGCUUCUCUUGUAACCCAAUCACAGGCAAUGACCAGAAUUUCAUAUGAUAGAACUUGGUUGAAGAGGAGAGAAAAUGUCGAUGCUGGGUGGGUUAUCAACAGAAACACAUACCUCUCAGCUUUUAUUAAGCACAAAGCUCUUUCGGAGAGAGAGGUAUGCUGUAAUUGUCAUAUUUCAAUUCCCUAUCUUGCUGUGCGAUGCAACACUUGCCAUGCCAAUUUAUGCCCAGAAUGUGAUUGGGCAUUUCAUUUUAAAAGACCGUUCCACUAUCGAGAACUAUUCGGAGAGAGUUCGUCCAGGCCUCUUCUACCGUCUGAGUGUGUCCAUUCAAAUGGACAUGUUGUAGAAAAAGCCGUUCCAGGACCGUUACAUAUCCCUCCUGAUUGUGCUGACUGUGCUGAGAAGAGCACGGUUCAGUUAUUUUCAGGAUCUACGUGCAUCGCAAUUGUAACAAAAGAUGGACACUAAAAACUAGUCAUAUCCCGUGAAAAUUUCGAUUUAAUCGACACCUAGAUGCUGAUGCAGCGUUAUUUGAAAGAAAAAAUUGCCAAAUCAGUGUUUUUCUUUAAGAAGCUGGAAGAUGAUGAUACCAGCAGCUCCUCCAGUUCAUCAGAUGAAGAUCAAUUUCCGGAAGGCUCAUCAGCUGAAGAGGAAGAGAUUGGAAGAGAGUAAUUGAAAUGUAGAAUAAUAAAUUGAUAAUACAUUUUUAAACUCUC